rnacentral:rRNA from 1 species
CUUGCUUCUCGGGUGGCGAGUGGCGAACGGGUGAGUAACAUAUCGGAACGUACCGAGUAGUGGGGGAUAACUGAUCGAAAGAUCAGCUAAUACCGCAUACGUCUUGAGAGAGAAAGCAGGGGACUUUCGGGCCUUGCGCUAUUCGAGCGGCCGAUAUCUGAUUAGCUAGUUGGUGGGGUAAAGGCCUACCAAGGCGACGAUCAGUAGCGGGUCUGAGAGGAUGAUCCGCCACACUGGGACUGAGACACGGCCCAGACUCCUACGGGAGGCAGCAGUGGGGAAUUUUGGACAAUGGGCGCAAGCCUGAUCCAGCCAUGCCGCGUGUCUGAAGAAGGCCUUCGGGUUGUAAAGGACUUUUGUCAGGGAAGAAAAGGCUGUUGCUAAUAUCAGCGGCUGAUGACGGUACCUGAAGAAUAAGCACCGGCUAAC